rnacentral:rRNA from 1 species
UCUUGACAUCCCGGAGACCCUUAGGAAACUAGGGGUGCUUCCAUCUGGAAGAAUCUGGAGACAGGUGCUGCAUGGCUGUCGUCAGCUCGUGUCGUGAGAUGUUGGGUUAAGUCCCGCAACGAGCGCAACCCUUGCCUUUAGUUGCCAGCAGUUCGGCUGGGCACUCUAAAGGGACUGCCGGUGUUAAACCGGAGGAAGUGGGGAUGACGUCAAGUCCUCAUGGCCUUUAUGACCAGGGCUACACACGUACUACAAUGGCCGAUACAAAGGGCAGCGACACUGCGAGGUGAAGCCAAUCCCGUAAAAUCGGUCUCAGUCCGGAUUGGAGUCUGCAACUCGACUCCAUGAAGUUGGAAUCGCUAGUAAUCGUGGAUCAGCAUGCCACGGUGAAUACGUUCCCGGGCCUU